CAGCCUGCCCAGUGACCUAGUUUAACGGCCGCAGUACUCUAACCGCGCAAAGGUAGCAUAAUCACUUGUUCUUUAAAUAAGGACUUGUAUCAACGGCACCACGAGGGUUACACUGUCUCCUUUUUCUAAUCAGUGAAACUAAUCUCCCCGUGAAGAAGCAGGGAUAAACACAUAAGACGAGAAGACCCCAUGGAGCUUUAAACCUAGUUACACCCCACAUUUACUAUGCCCUCUCAUUAACUGGACCCUGUAAACUAGACUUUAGGUUGGGGUGACCGCGGAGCAUAAUUAAACCUCCAUGAUAAACGAGACUAUCCUCUUAUCCAAGAAAUACACCUCUAAGAAUUAAUACAUUAAUAUAAAUGAUCCGAUAAUCGAUCAACGGACCAAGUUACCCUGGGGAUAACAGCGCAAUCCAUUUCUAGAGCUCCUAUCGACAAAUGGGUUUACGACCUCGAUGUUGGAUCAGGAUACCCCAGUGGUGUAGCAGCUACUAAAGGUUCGUUUGUUCAACGAUUAAAAUCCUACGUGAUCU
rnacentral:rRNA from 1 species